rnacentral:rRNA from 1 species
AAUGAACGCUGGCGGCGUGCCUAACACAUGCAAGUCGUACGAGCUCGAUCUUCGGAACGGGUUAGUGGCGCACGGGUGAGUAACACGUAGGUGACCUACCCCAGAGUGGGGGAUAACUUCUCGAAAGAGAGGCUAAUACCGCAUACACUCGGUCAUUCAUUUGACCGAGCAAAGCUCCGGCGCUUUGGGACGGGCCUGCGUCCGAUUAGCUAGUUGGUAGGGUAAUGGCUUACCAAGGCUUUGAUCGGUAGCUGGUCUGAGAGGACGAUCAGCCACACUGGCACUGACACACGGGCCAGACUCCUACGGGAGGCAGCAGUGAGGAAUAUUGGGCAAUGGGCGAAAGCCUGACCCAGCAACGCCGCGUGAGGGAUGAAGGCCUUCGGGUUGUAAACCGUCUUUUCUGGGAGAAGAGACAAGGACGGUAUCCCAGGAAGUAAGUCUCGGCUAACUACGUGCCAGCAGCCGCGGUAAU